AGCGAACGUUAGCGGCGGGCCUAACACAUGCAAGUCGAACGGGCUGUAGCAAUACAGUCAGUGGCGCACGGGUGAGUAACGCGUAGAUAAUCUACCUUCCGGCGGGGGAUAACAUUCCGAAAGGAAUGCUAAUACCGCAUAAGACCACGGGGUCCUCGGGCCCUGAGGGAAAAGGUGGCCUCUCCUUGGAAGCCAUCACCGGAAGAUGAGUCUGCGUCCCAUCAGCUAGUUGGUAAGGUAAUGGCUUACCAAGGCGAAGACGGGUAGCUGGUCUGAGAGGAUGAUCAGCCACACUGGUACUGGAACACGGACCAGACUCCUACGGGAGGCAGCAGUGGGGAAUAUUGGGCAAUGGGCGAAAGCCUGACCCAGCCACGCCGCGUGAGUGAUGAAGG
rnacentral:rRNA from 1 species